CUGACCUCAAGCAAUCUUCCUGCCUUGGCCUCCCAGAGUGCUAGGAUUACGGACAUGAGCCACCGCACCCAGCCCCUUUAAUUGCUUGGACUUCAGCCCUGCGGACUCAGAAGUCUGAUUUUUCAGUGCUCUUAGAGCAGUACCACCAAAAGUGUGGUCCACAAGCCACUGCCACUCUUCAAGCCCUUUGUUACUGGUCGAUGACAAGGCAUUUACAGAAAGUAAAAGUAAUUUUUGAAGUGUUGCUGUAGAGGCAUACAGAUGAAGGGAGACAGAAGAACCAAACUCCCAGGCUUACGUAAAUCCAAAUUCCUUUUUCAUUUUAUAGUGAGAACUGUAAGGAUUAAGAGAAAAAUGGACAUCUACCCAUUUUCUCCUUCCACAUACACAUAGAAGGCCACAUGGAAAUCACCAAAUUUAGUAAUAGCUACCAUUUAUUAAAUGCUUUCUCUGUGUCAGCCACUGUGCAAAAGCCUGGUGUUUUUUUGUUGAUUUUGGUCUCGUUUAGUCCUCGCAACUCUAUAAAAUAGGUUUGUUUGUUUUUAUAGAGACAGGAUCUUGCUCUGCUGCCCAGGCUGGACUUAAAACUCCUGGCCUCAAGCAAUCCUCCCAAGAAGCUGGGAUUACAGGUGGGAGCCACCAUGCCCAGCUAAAAUAGUUAGCCCAUUUUUCCAGUGAGCAAACUGAGGCUAAAAGAGAUUAAAUAACUUGCCUAAAUUCAUCAAGCUCAUAAUGGUAGAGGCAGGAUUCUACACAGGUGUCUCAUUGCAAAAUGUUCCUAAUCACUUUUUAUUUUGCCAUUAUAUGCCCAGUAUCUAGCAAAUUUCCUGGCACAAAGAUUCAGUACACUGUUUUAGAUAGAAUGCAUAUAGUUGACUACAUUACCUCCCAGAAUGUUCAUUUGUGAAUUUUUGGGCCAGAGUAAGGGGAGUCAGGAGUACUCUAACAAUGCAUUCACUUCUACAAUAGAAAAUUUGUCUGCUUUGCUCCUAUCUAGAAUUUAUAAAGACUAUCACAAGUCAACAAGAAAUAGCCCAGUAGAAAAAUGGGUAAGAAACUUAAAACUGUCACUUCACAAAAGAGUGUGUCCUAGAUGGUCAGUAAAACAUAUAAAGGUACUCAACUUCUUUAAUCAUUAGGGAAAUGCAGAUUAAAACUUUAGUGAGAUACUGCUGCAUACCCAGCAGAAUGGCUAAAAUAGAAAACUCAGAAAAAUGUCAAAAUGGUCAAAAGUUGGAGUAGCUGACACUGUACACUGUUGGUGGAAAUAUGUAUUGGUAUGACCAUGUUGGAAAAUUGAAAGUUCAAAAAAAACAGGCCAAAACCAAACUAGAUUUAGGGAUAUAUGUUUAAGUAGUAAAACUAUGAAGAAAAGAAAAGAAAUAGCUUUGCAAGGGGUAGUGGUUGGAAGGGAACAAGAGGUGUUUGGGCCCCAAUAAGGUCUUCCUGAAAUUUGAUCCCCAGUGUUGGAAGUGGGGUCUGGUGUUUGUGUCAUGGAUGCAAAUCCCUCAUUAAUGGCUUGGUGCCAUCCUCAGGGGAGUGAGUUUUCACUCGUGGUUUGUGAAAAACUGGAUGUUGAAAAGAGCCUGGCACCCUUGUCUUCUUUCUCGCCUGCCUCCUCUCACCAUGUGAUCUCUGCAUGUGCCAGUUUCCCUUUCACCUUUUUGCCGUGAAUGGAAGCAGCCUGCAGAACUGAAAGCCAAAUAAACUAUUCUUUUUAAAUUAA